UCCUCUUAGCCUUUCAAGUGCUGGGAUUAUAGGCAUGUGCCACCGUGCUGAGCCUUUCUUUUUCAAUAAUGAAAGAAUGCAAGCCCUUGAGAAAAGCAAGAUCAAACGAGCACGUUGUGAUUAUCAAUUUUGUGUGUGUGUGUGGUACUGGGAAUUGAACCCAGGGCUUUCACACUCAAUUACAUCCCCAGCCUUUCCAAAUUUUUUAAAUUUUGAGACAAGAUCUUGUUCAGUUGCCCGGGCUGGGCUUGCUUUUGUGAUCCUCCAGACUCCUCCCACGAGCUAGGAUCACAGGCCUCUGCUGCCCGGCAUGAUGGUUAAUCUUAAUAAUCUGAUUGGCUGGGGAGCAGCCCAGGGGAUUGCGGGAGUGCACUUCUGGGAGAGUCUGGGUGGGGUGUGGAGGUGUGGCCUGGGGUCUGUAACUCACUCCUUCUUCUUUGGCACUGCUCCCCUGCCUGCUUCCCUGCCACCAUGAACUAAGUAGCUCUGCUCUACCACACCCUUCCACCUGCAGUUCCUGCCUGGGAGCCGCUGAUCGUGACUGAAUCUCCUGAAACUGCUGAAGGACAGAGCUGCCGGUGCUCCCAGUGAAGAUGCUCCCAUGACCUUUGCAAUCUCACCUGCUCCCUCACAGCAUCCGUCCAGCGAGUUUGGGGGAUGCCUCGACAUUUGCUCAUUGUUCCUUUCCUUUUCUUGGCUACCCACGUUGGGCUCAGGUCUAACUGGGUCUGCGGAGACGGAGACGCGGUGCUGCCUUUAACGUCACCAUUGGUAUCUUCAUCCACGAGUAAUCGCAGCCCCUUGGAGCUGAAAUCUCAAGUAUCACCACCUAUGAAGAGGAGUUGUGUGUACCUCAAAAGCCCAUGUGGGUGGUUUUCCAGAACAAAGGACCCCACCAACUUGUUGAACAAUAUUUCAUUUGUGUAAUAGAAAAGCUUCAAAAAUAUUGUCAUUCAGGAUUCCCUGAAUUCCCUACAUUCUCUUGCUUCUGAGGAAAUAGCUAAUUUCACUCUAGGGUGAGGUGUUCACAAAGGGAGAAAAUAAAGUCCUGAGAAUCAGAACGGAAAACCAGAGCUCUUCAAGUGGCCGACGUCUAUCCCACCUCUUGGAUCUGUGUCCUAAGCAUGAUGUAUGUCGGACUCUUCCUCUAAUUCCUGUGAAAGGACAGGAUUCUGCCAAGCCACCACAUUGCCCAGGUUGGGUUCACAUUUUCCAUCCUCCUCAGACCACCCCCCCACCGGAGUGCUGGGAUUACAGGCCUUUGACUUCAUACCGGCCAAAAUAUGUUACUUUUAUCACAGGGCUCACUUUGCAAUUAUUUUUGCCUUCCAGAUAUACAUAUGGACAUAAAAAGAGAAACACAUAUUAUGUGUGUAUAUAUCUAUAUAUGUAUGUGCAUCAUAUUUAUGAAUAGAAUUCUGUAUCUUGUCUUUUUCACCAAAUAAACAUCUCCCCAUAUCAUGAAUUAAUUCUCAGAAACAUUUUACUGAAUAAAUAAUCUACCACACAGGUGUAUCAUUCACAGUUUAUUUAGUUAAAGGUACCCUAUUGCUGGACUUUUAAUUGGUUUCUAGUAUUAUAAAUGAUGCUAUAACAAAUACCGUAGAAUACUAAUGGUUUUCAGUUGCUGUUUUUUCAUGUAAAUCCCUAGACUUAGAUCCAGUAAGAGCAAACAUUUGAAUAUUUGUGAAAGUUCUUGAUACAUUGUCAAAUUGCUCUCUUAUCAUUUUAAGAAGACUCUUCUCACUAAGUCCAGCAGUUAUAACCAACUUUUAAAAACAUUCACUGGCAUUGAUUUUAAUAAAAUUUAAGGUACAAAUCAAAACCACUUUUUAUUUUUCUCUCUCUAUUUCUAAAGAAAGUAGGGAAAUCAAAAGUAGGAUUCAUGCUGCAGUUAAAACAUACAAAAUGAUCAAGCACAGUUUAAAAAAUAAAGAGUAUGUAGUGCUGAAAUUGUGCACAAGAUUGUUCCAUUGUGUUUAGUUUUAGGAACAGUUUUCUUAGGGCCAAUCCAGUGACCUUGGGCUGAUAUAGCUCCUGAAGCCUGCAUGGUUAACUUUUGACUACUUUUGAGUAGAAAAAUUCCUAGAACUUACUUAGGAACUUAUAUACUUGAAAAAAUAUCAACAGAUGAUUCACAUUAUGUAUUUAAGCUACAAAAAAUAUUUUGCCCAGGGUUUGCCCUGGGCAAUAACGGAAUUAGAAUGGUUUAAACAUUUGAUAUGCACUCUAAAUUAUGUUUAUUUUCAGUGAACUAUUUCUAAAUGAAAUAAUUUACCAUUUCAAAUAUUUGGAAACAAUGCACUUUACUAAAAUAUAGAGUAAGUUAUAGUGCCUAGAUUUUGUGGGAUUUCAGUUGCUUUGGUAAUAUAAACUCAUUCUUCCUUAGUGUUGUCAAAUCAGGCGGCUGUUUUACUUCUAGUACCAGGUUGUCAUUUUCAUAUUUGUCAUUUCUUUUGUGGAAAUUUCAAAAUGGAUAAAUCAACUUUUCCCCCUAAUUCUUAUUUUCCUUGCUGCCAGUGGACCUACUUAUCAUGUAUUUGUUUUUAUACAUUGUGACUAUUAAUCCUGAUAUGUCAAUUUCACUAGAUUAACAAAUGCAUUGCAGAUUAGUAAAAGCAUGCUCUCGGCUAUGUCUGGAUGGAUCUUGGAGACAUGGUCUUGGUGUACUCAAUCCCUUGCCUGCUCCUCUCUGGCUCUAUUCCCCUGCUCUGCUUCUUGGCUGCUGGGAACGGAGAAUCUUUGUCCCACCACACCCUUCUGUCAUGAUAUUUCUACUUUGGAACCAGCUGACUACAGACUGAAUCCUUGAAACUGUGUCCAAAUUAAACCUUUCCCUGUAUAAAUCAUGGGUGUUAGAUGCUGUGUAUCAGGAAUGGGAAAGCUAAUACAUACAUCCUGUUCAUUUAAUAUUUAAUGUUGCAAGCAAGGACAAUGCACUUUCAACACUAACCUUACAUCCAGGAUCCUUCACAGAGGCAGUCACUGCCAUCAGGUUAAUCUGGAAAUUUCUAGGGUCCAUUCUAUACAUUUAUAAAACAGAAUAAUUAUAAAAAUACAUAAUGUUGAUUGGUCCUUCUAUUUUAUCGAAAUGGUGUAACAUACCUACCAUGAGAGCAAAACACCUGAGUCCUUAUCAAUGGCUCUUUCCUUUUAAUUAUUGUACAAUAUCCUGUACCACAGGUCAUCUACCAGCCACUCUAUGCAUAGACAUUUACUUCACUUCAAGAUUCUUUGCUAAUGAGAGAUAGGGCUGCAACCAACAAGCCUGCACAGACUCUUUGCCCUCGAUAAAUGUCUUCAAAGGUAGAUGAUGUCAAGAACUUUUAAGUGUGUAUUACAGAUACCUGUAUUUUAAUAAAGAUUCAGUAAAAUUAAUUUCCAAAGUGUUGACUAUGUUGUUGACUAUAAAUGUGCCCAUUCUCCAUCCCCUUUGUUCCCCCUUGAUU